GAAGAUGUAAUUUCUGGUAUGACAAAUAUGGUCUUAUUUUGAUUCGAUUCGUAUUGGUCUACCCUAUGUACUUCCAACGAUUUCCCUGAAUACCUCUAACUCGUUUUUAAUGAACACCUUCACGGCCAUUUUAUCACGAAAUCCAUUAUCUGCGACGUUAAAGUGCUUAUCGCCGGAAAACUAAUAAAAACAUGAUUCUUCCGUAUGAGCAACGCAGUAAUUGUUCAACUGCAUUACGGAAAAACACAGGACGGGCUGCUCCGAGUCUGAAAAUAAUAUGCUGUCUCGUAGAAGUAGAAACCUUUUGAAGAACACGAGAAGGGAAAACGUUUCAAUAGAGUUAUUGAUUCUUGGGUCCAAGAAAAUGGAAAAUCUAACACAACUGUUUUAUCACAACGCGCAGAGUUUCCGAGCAGAAAAGUCGUGCGAACCAAUCCUCUCCGUUUUGAGAGACGGAGUGAAACUCAAUUGAUUCGCCAAUCUCAUCUCCAAGGACUCAUGUACUGCGUGAGAAGCUUUCAGUCUCCAGACGUCUUGCAAAGCGAUAAGACGAGAAAAUGAUUAAUUAUAAGUGAAAUGAAGUAAUUACGAAUAAUAUUUGAGACGGAUCGUAGUCUCGUUUUUUAAACAAUGCAAUUCAGGGUGACUGGUAAGUUAACAAGAAAAUGCAAAGGAGUUACAAAUACGAUGCUAAAAGAAAAUUAUU